GGUUUGUGAGUGGAGCUCCUUGAAGUCCAAAAGAGGUUCUUAACUGGUUUGAUUGAGCUGCUUGAAUAUGGAUUUCAUACUACUAUCUCUUUGCUGGUUGACUUGAGAUAGUCUUGUGAUGUGCAUAUUUUAGGAGCUUGAGUUAUCCAUGUUGGAUCCUUAUUUGGAUUGAAGGGAGCUCUACACCUUACUCUU